rnacentral:rRNA from 1 species
UCCGUAGGGGGCAAGCGUUGUCCGGAAUCAUUGGGCGUAAAGAGCGUGUAGGCGGCCUUAUAAGUCGGCUGUGAAAGUCAAGGGCUCAACCCUUGAAUGCCGGCCGAUACUGUGAGGCUAGAGUCCGGAAGAGGCGAGUGGAAUUCCUGGUGUAGCGGUGAAAUGCGCAGAUAUCAGGAGGAACACCGAUGGCGAAGGCAGCUCGCUGGGACGGUACUGACGCUGAGACGCGAAAGCGUGGGGAGCGAACAGG